AGGGAUAUAACUCACCGAGAAAGGGUGGCCUUGACGAGGUAGAAGUCAUCAGUUCGAGCCUAAUUAUCCCUA
rnacentral:tRNA from 2 species